rnacentral:rRNA from 1 species
GAUGAACGCUGGCGGCGUGCUUAACACAUGCAAGUCGAACGGAAAGGCCCAAGCUUGCUUGGGUACUCGAGUGGCGAACGGGUGAGUAACACGUGGGUGAUCUGCCCUGCACUUCGGGAUAAGCCUGGGAAACUGGGUCUAAUACCGGAUAGGACGAUGGUUUGGAUGCCAUUGUGGAAAGUUUUUUCGGUGUGGGAUGAGCUCGCGGCCUAUCAGCUUGUUGGUGGGGUAAUGGCCUACCAAGGCGUCGACGGGUAGCCGGCCUGAGAGGGUGUACCGCCACAUUGGGACUGAGAUACGGCCCAGACUCCUACGGGAGGCAGCAGUGGGGAAUAUUGCACAAUGGGCGCAAGCCUGAUGCAGCGACGCCGCGUGGGGGAUGACGGCCUUCGGGUUGUAAACUCCUUUCGCUAGGGACGAAGCGUUUUUGUGACGGUACCUGGAGAAGAAGCACCGGCUAACUACGUG